CCUACGGGUGGCUGCAGUGGGGAAUUUUGGACAAUGGGCGCAAGCCUGAUCCAGCAAUGCCGCGUGAGUGAAGAAGGCCUUCGGGUUGUAAAGCUCUUUUGUGGAACGUUCGGUACCUGAAGAAUAAGCACCGGCUAACUACGUGCCAGCAGCCGCGGUAAUACGUAGGGUGCAAGCGUUAAUCGGAAUUACUGGGCGUAAAGCGUGCGCAGGCGGUUUUGUAAGUCUGUCGUGAAAUCCCCGGGCUCAACCUGGGAAUGGCGAUGGAGACUGCAAGGCUAGAAUCUGGCAGAGGGGGGUAGAAUUCCACGUGUAGCAGUGAAAUGCGUAGAUAUGUGGAGGAACACCGAUGGCGAAGGCAGCCCCCUGGGCUAAAUUGACGCUCAUGCACGAAAGCGUGGGGAGCAAACAGGAUUAGAUACCCUUGUAGUC
rnacentral:rRNA from 1 species